AUACGGAGGAUCCGAGCGUUAUCCGGAUUUAUUGGGUUUAAAGGGUGCGCAGGCGGGAGAUUAAGUCGGCGGUGAGGUUUUGCAGCUCAACUGUAAAAGUGCCUUCGAAACUGGUUUCCUUGAGUGUAGAUGAAGUAGGCGGAAUUUGUGGUGUAGCGGUGAAAUGCAUAGAUAUCACGAGGAACUCCGAUUGCGCAGGCAGCUUACUAAACUACUACUGACGCUCAGGCACGAAGGCGUGGGGAUCAAACAGGAUUAGAUACCCUGGUAGUCCACGCAGUAAACGAUGAUUACUAGCUGUUUGCGAUACAAUGUAAGCGGCUGAGCGAAAGCGUUAAGUAAUCCACCUGGGGAGUACGUUCGCAAGAAUGAAACUCAAAUGAAUUGGCGGGG
rnacentral:rRNA from 1 species